rnacentral:tRNA from 1 species
CGAUCUGUAGCUCAGACGGUUAGAGCGCAUCGCUGAUAACGAUGAGGUCCGAGGUUCAACUCCUCGCAGGUCGACGA